AACGUAGGUGGCGAGCGUUAUCCGGAUUUACUGGGCGUAAAGGGUGUGCAGGCGGGCUGUUAAGUGGUGUAUGAAAUCGCCCGGCUCAACCGGGCGAGGUUAUGCCAGACUGGCAGUCUAGAGAGCGAGAGAGGGACGUGGAAUUCCGGGUGUAGUGGUGAAAUGCGUAGAGAUCCGGAGGAACCCCAGAGGCGAAGGCGGCGUCCUGGCUCGCAUCUGACGCUCAGACACGACAGCAUGGGGAGCGAACGGG
rnacentral:rRNA from 1 species